rnacentral:rRNA from 1 species
UGGGGAAUAUUGGGCAAUGGGGGAAACCCUGACCCAGCAACGCCGCGUGAAGGAAGAAGGUUUUCGGAUCGUAAACUUCUAUCCUUGGUGAAAAUAAUGAUGGUAGCCAAGAAGGAAGCCCCGGCUAACUACGUGCCAGCAGCCGCGGUAAUACGUAGGGGGCAAGCGUUGUCCGGAAUGAUUGGGCGUAAAGGGCGCGUAGGCGGCCUGAUAAGUUUGAAGUGAAAGUCCUUCUUUUAAGGAGGGAACUGCUUUGAAAACUGUUGGGCUUGAGUGCAGGAGAGGUAAGCGGAAUUCCCGGUGUAGCGGUGAAAUGCGUAGAGAUCGGGAGGAACACCAGUGGCGAAGGCGGCUUACUGGACUGUUACUGACGCUGAGGCGCGAAAGUGUGGGGAGCAAACAGG